CCUACGGGAGGCUGCAGUGGGGAAUAUUGCACAAUGGGGGAAACCCUGAUGCAGCGACGCCGCGUGAGUGAAGAAGUACUUCGUUAUGUAAAGCUCUAUCAGCAGGGAAGAAAAUGACGGUACCUGAGUAAGAAGCCCCGGCUAACUACGUACCAGCAGCCGCGGUAAUACGUAGGGGGCAAGCGUUAUCCGGAUUUACUGGGGGUAAAGGGAGCGUAGACGGGAGUGCAAGGCUGGAGUGAAAGGCGGGGGCUCAACCCCCGGAGUGCUCUGGAAACUGUACGGCUGGAGUGCAGGAGAGGUAAGUGGAAUUCCUAGUGUAGCGGUGAAAUGCGUAGAUAUUAGGAGGAACACCAGUGGCGAAGGCAGCUUACUGGACUGUAACUGACGUUGAGGCACGAAAGCGUGGGGAGCGAACAGGAUUAGAUACCCCGGUAGUC
rnacentral:rRNA from 1 species